CCCAAUAAAAAUUUUUCAAAAAAAAAAAAAACAUUCCUCUCCUCUUCGAUGCACAACAAAGAAAUUUAGCCACAGACUCAAUGAUCCCAUGGUUAUGUGUGGACAGUAAAAGGUAUGUCUUACUGUCAUCCGAUUGACCUUCAUGGUUUUGAAGCAAAGGUUCUAGAUAAACGGCGUGAAUAUCACAAUACAAUAAGCAGUACAGGAGAACAUGUUCAGUACUUUCUAUAUCCCUCAAGCCACAGGCACAAUACCUUGUGGAGUAAGGAAUUUUCUUGGAUUCCCAAAUCAGCUCAGCAAUUCUGGGCCCAAUUGGAAAUCCCAAAUCUUCUCAAAUCGGAAAUUCGAAGUGCACACCUCUAGCUAGGAGAAGUGGAAAGCAGUAGAAAAAAGGAAGACCCAAAAUGAAAUGGCUUGCCUCAAUAAAGGAAGUCAUGACCUUCAAUUUGCAAGAUCUGAGCAAGGCUGUUAAUGAUAGGUUGUUUUGGAGGUCUUUCAUUCAGAGAGUUGCCAUAAGUCAGAAGGGACUCAACAGCACAUAAUACAGCAUUCUGCAGUCACUCCACUGGCUACCCAUCAGUUACUGGACUCAGUUCAACAUUUUGAGUGUCACAUACAAAGUCUUUCAUGGCCUUGGUCCCUCAUAUCUUUGGGACCUUCUCUGUCCUUACAUUCUGCCAUGGCAGCUUUCCUUAUUCUGAUUAGGAUGGGCAAAAUCAACUGCCUGUGCACAAGCAUUCUCUGUUGAGGUUAUGUGGGCUCCCGCUCUCCUGAUUUUCCACAAUCUGCACAAGUGAAUUAUUCAGGAGAGCCUUUUUUAUACAGGUAGGAGGACUGUAUUGUAAGGAAAUGGAACAAAGAGGUAUGUUGAGAUCAUACUACUCUGUACUGUCGGUUGCAUUAAGUAUGUCCCUACUGGUUAAUUUCAGCGUUAUUUAAUAUGUCAGGAUUAAUUGCUUAUGAUCUGUUUCAGCUGUAUAUUGUAUUUCUGCUACUUUUUAAAUUUCUGCAGAUUUGCGUAUCCUGUUGCAUUGUUUAUUGAAUGUUCCAGCCAUUGAUUGUAUUGACUUGUGUAGUCCAGCUUGAGUCUCAGCAAUAAAAGUGGACUAUAAAUAAUGUAAAUAAAUAAACAGGAUUAACAUAAA